GACGCAGUAGGAUAGGCGAAGCGUGCUGUUGGAGUGCACGUCCAAGCAGUGAGAUUGAGUGUUAGGCAAAUCCGGCACUCUUAAGAUUGAGCUGUGAUGGGGAGAGGAACUUGUUCCUCGAGUCGUUGAUUUCACACUGCCGAGAAAAGCCUCUAGCUAGAAUAACGGUGCCCGUACCGCAAACCGACACAGGUAGUCAAGAUGAGAAUUCUAAGGUGAGCGAGCGAACUCUCGUUAAGGAACUCGGCAAAAUGACCCCGUAACUUCGGGAGAAGGGGUGCUCUUUGAGGUUCACGCUUCGAAGAGCCGCAGUGAAUAGGCCCAAGCGACUGUUUAUCAAAAACACAGGUCUCUGCUAAACCGUAAGGUGACGUAUAGGGGCUGACGCCUGCCCGGUGCUGGAAGGUUAAGAGGAGUGGUUAGCGCAAGCGAAGCUACGAAUCGAAGCCCCAGUAAACGGCGGCCGUAACUAUAACGGUCCUAAGGUAGCGAAAUUCCUUGUCGGGUAAGUUCCGACCCGCACGAAAGGCGUAACGAUUUGGGCACUGUCUCAACGAGAGACUCGGUGAAAUCAUAGUACCGGUGAAGAUGCCGGUUACCCGCGACAGGACGGAAAGACCCCGUGGAGCUUUACUGUAGCCUGAUAUUGAAAUUCGGUACAGUUUGUACAGGAUAGGUAGGAGCCUUAGAAGCGUGAGCGCUAGCUUACGUGGAGGCAUUGGUGGGAUACUACCCUAAUUGUAUUGGAUUUCUAACCCGCAGCACUUAUCGUGCUGGGAGACAGUGUCAGGCGGGCAGUUUGACUGGGGCGGUCGCCUCCUAAAGAGUAACGGAGGCGCUCAAAGGUUCCCUCAGAAUGGUUGGAAAUCAUUCAUAGAGUGUAAAGGCAUAAGGGAGCUUGACUGCGAGACCUACAAGUCGAGCAGGGUCGAAAGACGGACUUAGUGAUCCGGUGGUUCCGCAUGGAAGGGCCAUCGCUCAACGGAUAAAAGCUACCCCGGGGAUAACAGGCUUAUCUCCCCCAAGAGUUCACAUCGACGGGGAGGUUUGGCACCUCGAUGUCGGCUCAUCGCAUCCUGGGGCUGUAGUCGGUCCCAAGGGUUGGGCUGUUCGCCCAUUAAAGCGGUACGCGAGCUGGGUUCAGAACGUCGUGAGACAGUUCGGUCCCUAUCCGUCGUGGGCGUAGGAAAUUUGAGAGGAGCUGUCCUUAGUACGAGAGGACCGGGAUGGACAUACCUCUGGUGUACCAGUUGUCGUGCCAACGGCAUAGCUGGGUAGCUAUGUAUGGACGGGAUAAGUGCUGAAAGCAUCUAAGCAUGAAGCCCCCCUCGAGAUGAGAUUUCCCAACUUCGGUUAUAAG
rnacentral:rRNA from 1 species